UUGAGUAUUUGGAGGUAAGUACCAUCGACGAUCUUGUUUCUAUGAUAGCCUGUAAAAAUCGGAAAUGUUUUGUUCAGCUAGCUAGAUGUGUCUAUGCACAGACAAGUAUUUUGCUUCUCUCACUGGCUAUACUGUAAUAUUAAAAGGGGCACAAGAAAAUAAAACUCUACCCUUUGCUCUAUGAAAGGUUGUGGUUCAGAAGUUUUUAACCUGCGUUCCUGCCUACUCUGCAAACGCAGCUUUGUAGUGGACAUCCUCUUCAAAGGGGAAAGCUACUUCUUAUGGCUU